UACGUAGGGGGCAAGCGUUGUCCGGAUUUAUUGGGCGUAAAGAGCGCGUAGGCGGCCCGGUAAGUCCGCUGUAAAAGUCCAGGGCUCAACCCUGGAAAGCCGGUGGAUACUGUCGGGCUCGAGUCCGGAAGAGGCGAGUGGAAUUCCUGGUGUAGCGGUGGAAUGCGCAGAUAUCAGGAGGAACACCAAUGGCGAAGGCAGCUCGCUGGGACGGUACUGACGCUGAGGCGCGAAAGCUAGGGGAGCGAACGGG
rnacentral:rRNA from 1 species